rnacentral:rRNA from 1 species
UACGAAGGGGGCUAGCGUUGCUCGGAAUCACUGGGCGUAAAGCGCACGUAGGCGGAUUGUUAAGUCAGGGGUGAAAUCCUGGAGCUCAACUCCAGAACUGCCUUUGAUACUGGCGAUCUCGAGUCCGGGAGAGGUGAGUGGAACUGCGAGUGUAGAGGUGAAAUUCGUAGAUAUUCGCAAGAACACCAGUGGCGAAGGCGGCUCACUGGCCCGGUACUGACGCUGGAGGUGCGAAAGCGUGGGGAGCAAACAGG